rnacentral:rRNA from 1 species
UACGGAGGGGGUUAGCGUUGUUCGGAAUCACUGGGCGUAAAGGGCGCGUAGGCGGCUCGGUAAGUAGGGGGUGAAAUCCUGCGGCUCAACCGCAGGGCUGCCUUCUAAACUGUCGAGCUCGAGCACGGUAGAGGCAGAUGGAAUUCCCGGUGUAGCGGUGGAAUGCGUAGAGAUCGGGAAGAACAUCAGUGGCGAAGGCGGUCUGCUGGGCCGUUGCUGACGCUGAGGCGCGACAGCGUGGGGAGCAAACAGG